rnacentral:tRNA from 1 species
GCCGCGGUGGUAUAGUGGUUAUGGCGCUGGACUGCUGACCCGGAGGUCGCGGGAUCGAAUCCCGGCCGCGGCG